GAUGAACGCUGGCGGCGUGCCUAAUACAUGCAAGUCGAGCGAACAGACGAGGAGCUUGCUCCUCUGACGUUAGCGGCGGACGGGUGAGUAACACGUGGAUAACCUACCUAUAAGACUGGGAUAACUUCGGGAAACCGGAGCUAAUACCGGAUAACAUGUUGAACCGCAUGGUUCAACAGUGAAAGACGGUCUUGCUGUCACUUAUAGAUGGAUCCGCACCGCAUUAGCUAGUUGGUAAGGUAACGGCUUACCAAGGCAACGAUGCGUAGCCGACCUGAGAGGGUGAUCGGCCACACUGGAACUGAGACACGGUCCAGACUCCUACGGGAGGCAGCAGUAGGGAAUCUUCCGCAAUGGGCGAAAUCCUGACGGAGCAACGCCGCGUGAGUGAAGAAGGUCCUCGGAUCGUAAAACUCUGUUAUUAGGGAAGAACAAAUGUGUAAGUAACUAUGCACGUCUUGACGGUACCUAAUCAGAAAGCCACGGCUAACUACGUG
rnacentral:rRNA from 1 species